AGAUUGAACGCUGGCGGCAUGCCUUACACAUGCAAGUCGAACGGCAGCACGGGAGCAAUCCUGGUGGCGAGUGGCGAACGGGUGAGUAAUAUAUCGGAACGUGCCCAGUCGUGGGGGAUAACGCAGCGAAAGCUGUGCUAAUACCGCAUACGAUCUAUGGAUGAAAGCGGGGGAUCGCAAGACCUCGCGCGAUUGGAGCGGCCGAUAUCAGAUUAGCUAGUUGGUGGGGUAAAAGCCUACAAGGCGACGAUCUGUAGCUGGUCUGAGAGGACGACCAGCCACACUGGAACUGAGACACGGUCCAGACUCCUACGGGAGCAGCA
rnacentral:rRNA from 1 species